rnacentral:rRNA from 1 species
CCAUGGGCGCAAGCCUGAUCCAGCCAUGCCGCGUGUGUGAAGAAGGCCUUAUGGUUGUAAAGCACUUUAAGCGAGGAGGAGGCUACUUUAGUUAAUACCUAGAGAUAGUGGACGUUACUCGCAGAAUAAGCACCGGCUAACUCUGUGCCAGCAGCCGCGGUAAUACAGAGGGUGCAAGCGUUAAUCGGAUUUACUGGGCGUAAAGCGCGCGUAGGCGGCUAAUUAAGUCAAAUGUGAAAUCCCCGAGCUUAACUUGGGAAUUGCAUUCGAUACUGGUUAGCUAGAGUGUGGGAGAGGAUGGUAGAAUUCCAGGUGUAGCGGUGAAAUGCGUAGAGAUCUGGAGGAAUACCGAUGGCGAAGGCAGCCAUCUGGCCUAACACUGACGCUGAGGUGCGAAAGCAUGGGGAGCAAACAGGAUUAGAUACCCUGGUAGUCCAUGCCGUAAACGAUGUCUACUAGCCGUUGGGGCCUUUGAGGCUUUAGUGGCGCAGCUAACGCGAUAAGUAGACCGCCUGGGGAGUACGGUCGCAAGACUAAAACUCAAAUGAAUUGACGGGGGCCCGCACAAGCGGUGGAGCAUGUGGUUUAAUUCGAUGCAACGCGAAGAACCUUACCUGGCCUUGACAUAGUAAGAACUUUCCAGAGAUGGAUUGGUGCCUUCGGGAACUUACAUACAGGUGCUGCAUGGCUGUCGUCAGCUCGUGUCGUGAGAUGUUGGGUUAAGUCCCGCAACGAGCGCAACCCUUUUCCUUAUUUGCCAGCGAGUAAUGUCGGGAACUUUAAGGAUACUGCCAGUGACAAACUGGAGGAAGGCGGGGACGACGUCAAGUCAUCAUGGCCCUUACGGCCAGGGCUACACACGUGCUACAAUGGUCGGUACAAAGGGUUGCUACCUAGCGAUAGGAUGCUAAUCUCAAAAAGCCGAUCGUAGUCCGGAUUGGAGUCUGCAACUCGACUCCAUGAAGUCGGAAUCGCUAGUAAUCGCGGAUCAGAAUGCCGCGGUGAAUACGUUCCCGGGCCUUGUACACACCGCCCGUCACACCAUGGGAGUUUGUUGCACCAGAAGUAGCUAGCCUAACUGCAAAGAGGGCGGUUACCCAAUCCG